CUUCUUCAGUUGUGCACACGAUAUCAACCUCCUCCAUAGUAGUGAGAGCGAAGAGUAGCGGGGUGUAGUAUUUCAGGAAUUCCCUGCUCCAAUUCCGCCUUCUCAGUUCACUCAAGAGAGUAGAUAAAGAUGCUCUGCCUCCACGAGCUUGAGAAGCUCACGAUUUCUACAUUGAUAAAGAGGAGGGCUUCAUUAUUCGUUUCCAGGUUGAAACUGAAUUUGAAGAACAAUGAGCAGAUGGUUAGGUGGAAGAAUGGUUAAAUAUGAUUCAAGACAUUGAACAUGUUCAAGAUCAGCAGACUGUUAUUGAUCUUUACUAUUUGAGCACAGUGGAAGAACUGGUAGAUUUCCUGCAAAACUAAAGGAGGUAGUGAUGAUAUUAGAAGCAUCAAGAUAAGUAAGUUAAUAGCUCCUUAUAAAAGCUCAAAUUCCCCGACACUGUUCAUUCGAAUUGGCGGUUUUGCCCUCAUUCGAGAUUUUUUUACGGUUCUGCCACUGAGCUAUACUAGAUGCUUCCAUCAGUUUCUUCUUUCUUCUAUGGCCAUCGGUUUCUUCUCUCUUUUGUUGGUUUCUUGAUUUCAUUAGUGAAUCACGACCCUUGAUCUGUGCGUGCCCUAUGUAGUUUCGCAGCAGGAGAUAGUUUCUCUGUACGAGAGGAUCUGUGCGUGCCCUAUGAUCGAAAGCUCAAUCAUAGUGGCGGAGGUUUCAUCUUCGUCGACGAGUUUUUGUCUGUACCGGAAUUCGCACCCAAUCCUCUCUCUCAGGUAAGCCUACCCCAAAUAAAAUUUAAACCUUUCGUGAUCUGAAGGUAGUAAGAUUUCGAAGAUUGAGGCUUUUAUUGAAUGUUUUGGGUGGGUGGACGUAGAUACUGGGGGAGAGGGAUUGGAGCAAGACCACACUUGCUCUGAGAAGAUGCUUCUGUAUCAACGCCCAAUUUUCUUUUCUCAUCAGAGAGAUUUGAUCCAACAACAAAGCUACUUAGUUUUGGCUGAGGAUACAACAGAGGAUUAAAAGCGCAGAGCUCAGGAUGUUAACCGAGGAGCAAGAAAAUGAACUUCUGAACUUUACACCAUUCAUUCCAUUGAUGUCUCCCUUGGUGAGUUUCCUCUCUGAACUAUUCUGUUUCUAUUUUGAUGAUGCCCGUAGUCUGUUAUGGACUUCAAAUACUACUCUUUUAUUAGUAUUUAACUCGAUGCUUAAAACUUUAAGAUUAUAUGCAAUGAUAUGUAAUUAGAGAACAACCAUUUUUCUAUAAUGCUUCAUUUGGCAUCUGAUAAUCUUUUGUACCAAUGGUUCUUAUAUUGCUUUUUGAAGUUCGGUACUGAUUAUGAAAAGAACAAUUUCAAAAGUAUAAGUAAAAAGUGAAGCAAUAUAACAAAUAUUAAGCUAACGAUGUCAAUAACUUGUGAGGAUCCGACCGUUGGAUCAUCAUUUAAUUUCAAUCCGACCGUUGGAUCAUCAUUUAAUUUCAAUCCGACAGUUGGAUCAUCAUUUAAUUUCGAUCUGACCGUUGGAUCAUCAUUUAAUUUAGAAUCCGACCGUUGGAUUGCCGUAUAUGUGUGGUUUAUGAUUUGCUAGGUUGAGAUCGUAUCUGAUUAGGUACUUAACGGUUGGAUUGGAAGAGCGAUUGGAUAAUUGUGAUUUUUGCCUUUUUAGAAGACGCAGCUGGAUAAGAGCGGGUAAUCCUGCAGGUCAGGAGAACCAGGGUGGUGAUCGAGCUGUUUAGUGUAACAGUAUUUGAGUUAUCGCAUUUGCUUUUGUAAGUUGUAGUGACGUUGAUCCCAUAGUAGCAUCUUCUCUGCAGGAGCAUCAGAGAUGUAAAUAUUGUCUUGGAACUGCUUAUGGCUCAUCUUCUGAUGCAAUGACUAUAAUCCAACAAUGAUCUCCUAUUGUUAAGUGGUGAUUCUGGAUUUUGAGCAAUGGAAGAACUCUAUGCAGUAGUGAUUCUGUUUGAAAGGCUUUGGUUUUUUAUGCCAAAAGUUGUGAAUGCUUCUUUAAUGCUGAUCAAGACAAGGAUUUGGCAAGGCCAUAGUAGACAUAAAGAAACUGUUGGAGCAAUUUGAUAAGUACCAUAAUUUUCAAAAAUGCUAGAUGCAAGGUGCUUUUUAGUAUUAACUUUUUGAAGUUAUUCAAGAAACUGAUGUUGGCCUGUUUGGAGAAGUCAGCACUCAGCACUGGAUCUUCUAUUAAAGCUUUCAUGUGGCUGGAGACCCAAGAAGCAAGUGUAGAGAGAAGUUGUAGUAACCCCUCACUAAUCUUGAAGAAAUUUAAGGUUAAAUCUCAUUGUUUGCACAACAGCCUAUUGCAAAGAAUAUGAGAUACAUUCAAAUGAUAAAGGUCUGAGAUGUAUUGCCUCCAGAGGAUAUCUCGAGGAUAUCCCAAAGUUGGAAUAUCGCUUGGAGACCAGUUUUAAAUAGAUACACAAAUAAAAUCAUUUUUGUU